rnacentral:rRNA from 1 species
GAUGAACGCUGGCGGCGUGCCUAAUACAUGCAAGUCGAGCGAACAGAUGAGGAGCUUGCUCCUCUGACGUUAGCGGCGGACGGGUGAGUAACACGUGGAUAACCUACCUAUAAGACUGGGAUAACUUCGGGAAACCGGAGCUAAUACCGGAUAAUAUAUUGAACCGCAUGGUUCAAUAGUGAAAGACGGUUUUGCUGUCACUUAUAGAUGGAUCCGCGCCGCAUUAGCUAGUUGGUAAGGUAACGGCUUACCAAGGCAACGAUGCGUAGCCGACCUGAGAGGGUGAUCGGCCACACUGGAACUGAGACGCGGUCCAGACUCCUACGGGAGGCAGCAGUAGGGAAUCUUCAGCAAUGGGCGAAAGCCUGACGGAGCAACGCCGCGUGAGUGAUGAAGGUCUUCGGAUCGUAAAACUCUGUUAUUAGGGAAGAACAAAUGUGUAAGUAACUAUGCACGUCUUGACGGUACCUAAUCAGAAAGCCACGGCUAACUACGUG